rnacentral:rRNA from 1 species
GACGAACGCUGGCGGCGUGCCUAAUACAUGCAAGUAGGACGCAGUUGCGAACGGGGGAGUAACGCGUAGGUAACUACCUAUUAGAGGGGGAUAACUAUUGGAAACGUUAGCUAAUACCGCAUACUAGUAGUUGGACCUGCUGUGUAUUAGCUAGUAGGUAGGGUAAUGGCCUACCUAGUCAACGAAACAUAGCCGACCUGAGAGGGUGUGCGGCCCCCCAGGGACUGAGACACGGCCCAGACUCCUCCGGGAGGCAGCAGUAGGGAAUCUUCGGCAAUGGGGGGAACUCUGACCGAGCAACGCCGCGUGAGUGAAGAAGGUUUUCGGAUCGUAAAGCUCUGUUGUUAAGGAAGCGGUACUUAACCAGAAAGGGACGGCUAACUACGUGCCAGCAGCCGCGGUAAUAC